rnacentral:rRNA from 1 species
AGGAAAAGAAACUAACAAGGAUUCCCUCAGUAACGGCGAGUGAAGCGGGAAGAGCUCAAGGCGUUAAUCUCCUUGGCCUAUGGCCUUGGCGAAUUGUAGCCUAGGGAUGCGUAUACUGUGAUCACUAGCACAUUAAGUCCUUUGGAAUAGGGCGCCAGAGAGGGUGAUAGCCCCGUCUAUGUGUUGGUCAGGUUGCUCUAUGUUGCGCACUCCGAGAGUCGGGUUGUUUGGGAAUGCAGCCCUAAUAGGGAGGUAAGCACCUUCCAAAGCUAAAUAUUCAGGCAAGAGACCGAUAGCGAACAAGUACCGUGAGGGAAAGUUGAAAAGAACUCUGGAGAGAGAGUGAAAAGUACGUGAAACCAUUAGUAGGGAACCGCUUGCACGGUACACUGAGUAGUUUGAGAUGGAGACAUUUCUUAUUACCGUCCAACACCAGUUUUACUUGCUGGAAAAAGAUGGAGAGAAGGUGGCGACUGUAGUCUUCGUGUCUGCAGUCGUGUUAUAGCUCUUUAUCAGAUACAGUGGGUAAGACUGAGGACUGCGGUACCUUUCCUUCGGGAAGGCGCAACCAGGCAUUCAAAGGGCCUUGCAAUCCAGUUUCGUAGACAGCAUGCUGACUGCGAGAUUCUAUUUGUAAGCACCCUGGUGUCUUUGUGAAGUACCAAGGGUAGUUGGGAAGUGCU